rnacentral:rRNA from 1 species
CCUUCGGUGUCGUAGCCAACGCGUUAAGUGUUCCGCCUGGGGAGUACGCACGCAAGUGUGAAACUCAAAGGAAUUGACGGGGGCCCGCACAAGCGGUGGAGUAUGUGGUUUAAUUCGAUGCAACGCGAAGAACCUUACCAGGGUUUGACAUCCUGCGAAUCUCUUGGAAACAGGAGAGUGCCUUCGGGAACGCAGUGACAGGUGGUGCAUGGCUGUCGUCAGCUCGUGUCGUGAGAUGUUGGGUUAAGUCCCGCAACGAGCGCAACCCACGUCUUUAGUUGCCAGCAUUUAGUUGGGCACUCUAGAGAGACUGCCGGUGAUAAACCGGAGGAAGGUGUGGAUGACGUCAAGUCAUCAUGCCCCUUACAUCCUGGGCUACACACGUACUACAAUGCUACGGACAAAGGGCAGCAAGUUCGCGAGGACAAGCAAAUCCCAUAAACCGUGGCUCAGUUCAGAUCGUAGGCUGCAACUCGCCUACGUGAAGGCGGAAUCGCUAGUAAUCGCAGGUCAGCAUACUGCGGUGAAUACGUUCCCGGGCCUU